UAAUUGACCGUACUGACAACUGCGAUAUCGUAAUUUAUAACCUAAACAUUUAUUUAUUUAAAUGUUUUAAACGAUUUUUAUACGAGAAAUGGCAACAAUUACAUGCUAUAUGACAAUGAAAAUGCAAGAAAUAUUUAUAGUGAGAAGUUAAAAGAUAUGAAAAUGAAGUGAAGGAUAACGGCAUUGAAAAUUAAUGAAUCUUGUCAAUAGUCCGGCUGGUGUUGACAGAAGAUAAAGAAGAGGAACAAUAAUUAUUAAUAAAUUGUAAACAUCAAAAAAUUCCAAAACUAUUGAGGUGUUGAAAUCCAGUAAAUUUUCUUGUAAAGCUUGGAGCAUUGCAAAUGUUUGGUGUUAAUGUAUGAGAGUACUUCACAUGUAAACAAUAUUGAUUAAGUUGUCUGCUUAUUUGGGGCCAAAUAAGAAGGAGAGAAAUUUUCUUAAAAAAGAAUCGAAAGCAAUAAAGAUAAGUAAAUUUUCUUGUAAGGCUUGUAGCAUUGCAAAUGUUUGGUGUUAAUGUAUGAGAGUACUUCACACGUUAACAAGAUUGAUGAAGUUGUCUGCUUAUUUGGGGUCAAAUAAAAAAGAGAGGAAUCUUCUUGGACAAAUAUCGAAAGCAAUAAAAAUAAGAUAUCAAGACAGACGAAUGCAGAAGGGUUGCUCAGCUAUUAACUUCGCUUAUAAUAAUUUCUUAAUUUCAAUUGUGUUGUAAGAAGUCAUGUUUAAGGUCUAAACAAUAAAACUUUCUCUAAUUUACAGACUA